UGGGCCUUUUAUCUUUUUGUCAUAAUAAAAAAUAACAAUUUUGAACUACUACUAGAGGUUCACAUGAUUAACACAACCUUCAUUUCAAAAUGUUACUGUUACAUUAUGCUAAAAAUGGCUAAGCUAAAAUAUACCAAGAAAAAGAAAGACUGUUUUAGCACUAAUAGAGUUUCAUCCAAAACUGGCCAAAAUAGUAAAAACGGGAAUUACAAUUGGCAAAAUAUGGAAGACAGGUUGCUACACUCCAAAAACUACUAUGCUAUGUUAUUGCUGUCCACACAAGUCCAAACUACUGCUAUUUGCUGCUCUAAAAUCUUGCCUUGUCCCUAUCUUUGA